GCUGGGCGUGGUAGUGCAUGCCUAUAAUCCCAGCUACUCAGGAGGCUGAGACAGGAGAAUCGUUUGAACCCAGGCGGUGGAGGUUGCAGUGAGCCAAGAUUGUGCCACUGCACUCCAGCCUGGGUGACAAAGCGAGACUCUGUCUCAA
rfam:Pan troglodytes isolate Yerkes chimp pedigree #C0471 (Clint) chromosome 16, whole genome shotgun sequence.